CAACCUACCUAUCAGAGGGGAAUAACCCGGCGAAAGUCGGACUAAUACCGCAUAAAACAGGGGCACCGCAUGGUGAUAUUUGUUAAAGAAAUUCGCUGAUAGAUGGGCAUGCGUUCCAUUAGGUAGUUGGUGAGGUAACGGCUCACCAAGCCGACGAUGGAUAGGGGAACUGAGAGGUUGGUCCCUCACACUGGUACUGAGACACGGACCAGACUCCUACGGGAGGCAGCAGUGAGGAAUAUUGGUCAAUGGGCGGGAGCCUGAACCAGCCAAGUCGCGUGAAGGAAGAAGGAUCUAUGGUUCGUAAACUUCUUUUGCAGGGGAAUAAAGUGCAGGACGUGUCCUGUUUUGUAUGUACCCUGAGAAUAAGGAUCGGCUAACUCCGUGCCAGCAGCCGCGGUAAUACGGAGGAUCCGAGCGUUAUCCGGAUUUAUUGGGUUUAAAGGGUGCGUAGGUGGUUUGAUAAGUCAGCGGUGAAAGUUUGCAGCUUAACUGUAAAAAUGCCGUUGAAACUGUCGGACUUGAGUGUAAAUGAGGUAGGCGGAAUGCGUGGUGUAGCGGUGAAAUGCAUAGAUAUCACGAANAACUCCGAUUG
rnacentral:rRNA from 1 species